rnacentral:lncRNA from 1 species
AAAAGAUCGAUUUCCCGCCAUGCAUGGCAGACUUGUACAAAAACGAUAUGUUGUCGAAAUUCUGUUCGUAUCUUUUAGACAUCGUAUGGCCAUCGCGCCAUCAUCGUAAUCCAUCGUGUAGCCUUCGUAAUCCAUCGUGUAGCCUUCGUGAUCCAUCGUGUAGGCUUCGGCUGAGAUAUGAAGUUUAAAUACCCGUCUUCGGUUAACCUUCGUAUGUCCAUCUUUUGCUAUCGUAUAUAAUUUCGGCACCAUCGUAUAGACUUCGUUAUUCAUCGUACUUUCUUCGGUCACUUUUUGGUAUUUUAACGAGAUCGGGACCAACUUCGUACGAACUUACAAUUUUCGCAUUCGGGUGUCCAUCGUAUAUAAAAAUCGGGGCAGUGUGACGUGG